GUAAAACAAAUAAAAAGAAAAAAAAUUGUCACCGCAAAAAAGUGCUUUAAAUCAACAGACUGAUGUUCUGCGGCUUUUCACGUGGAUUACAACAGUUGCGCACGCCGACUCUCCAACGCCAGCUGAGUGUUAUUCGCGCGUUUCUGUGGUUCAGAGUGGCACACUCAAAGAGGAGGAGGACCCAUAAUUUGAGAUCACUGAGCCUUUAAUAGGAAUAGGGUUAUGGCAACUGCUACCGCCUCUCAGCGCCGCGCUGAUAAAGGAGGAGGUGUGGAUUCAUGAAGUGUUCGCAAGUCGCCUCAAACGCAGCUUUUUGCAGAAACAGUUUGAACACUUUAUUCUAUUUUUAUGAUAACUCAUAUUUUGCAGCAUUUUUUUUCCUCUAAUCCAAAUAAAUUUUAAAAUCUUUUCAGAUACUUCUUUUUUUGUUUUUAUUAUGCACACAAAGAAAUUCCACGAAGCACAUUGAUUUAAUGCUUCUUUUCUGACCCCCUCUUGUCAUUUCUUUUUCUUUCAUUGACCUGAAUGAAGACACAUGGAGGAGGAGAGCUUUUCUUCCUGAUGGGGGUUUCCUGCCCUCACUCCCCAUCAUCCCCACAAAGGCUGAAUGGCAGAUCGCUGGAUUGGCUAAGUGAUGAAAUGAUGACCCUAUUAUGAGAAGCGGUUCCAAAAUGAGAGAUCGCCGUCUGUCAGACGGACAACAACUGGACCUGUUACUCAGGAGUGCCGCUGCUCACCUCGCCGCUGGCAUCUGCGAGCUGUGCUGGGACGGGACAGCCCGCCAACAUAAACACAGCGUGAACAUCAAAGCCUGGCAGCCGGGACUGCAGCACCUGAACAUGCUGAGGCGCAAUCCACCUGACCUGGGAAUUGAGACAAAUUUGUGCAUAUUAUGUUUGAAGGAAGCAGAUUUUUAGCGAAUAUAGACAAUAUUCUAUUGUUUUUUUGAUUCGUCAGAAAUUGAAGAAGUUCCAGUUCAGUCUCAGUCAUGGCUAACAGAAUUACACGGAUAACCUCGGGUUACACUUUGCUCCUCACUAUUAAUGCGAUGCAGUUUGUGGCGGUGAAACACAUUCGAGUGCACACUCGGUGCUCUUCGCAAGCACACUGUUUAUGUUGACACAUGCAACUCUCUUCCUGAUGCAAAUGCAAUCUAAACAUUAAGCGGAGGGAAGGCAAGCGUGGCCCAUAAAGGCUGUGAGCUCCAAACACUUUGAACAGACAACUAUCACUAAUCACUCCCAGAGCAGUGCGGCGUGUAAUUACUCUGCCAAACGUUUGCCUUUCACAGCUUAGCACCGGGAGCCCUGACCCUGCGCCUCCCUGUCUUUCCUCACCGCCGUGCAUGUGGAGGGGUUGUGCCCCCCCCCCCCUGUCUUUUUUUACCACAGGGAUAGUAGGCAGGCAAGCUGAGCUCCCUCACAACAAUAUUUUGAGGAAAAAGUGGGAAAAGAGGACGCAGGGAGGGAGCGGGCUGGUGCUUCCGGCUUUGUGGGAGCCCAUUUAAACAGGCUUUGAAACCUUAGCCAUCCGGAGAUCAGAAAUAGCCUUAUUGACUGCAUGGGUCCACAAGUGACCGAGAGCGCCACGUUCACCCCACCGAACAGUUGGAGCGCUGGAGGAGGGAUAAAGAACGGGGGGGCAUCUAUAAAGUCUCAGGACAUUAAUUUUACAUCAGGAGAAUAUUCUGUUUUUCUUAUUAUAAGUGACACACGCUUGUAUCUUUUUUUUUUUUUUUUGGCGGGGGGUGUUGCAUAAUUUCUUUGUAUUGUCUGAGGAGUUGGAGACAUCCAAUUCUCCUCGCUUGCCUGUCCCUGAGUCACAUUUAUUGAUAUUAGUGAUGCGGCUGUCACUCUUCGGCGGGAUCUGCCCCCCCCACACUCAAUAGGUGGAUGUUGAUAAGAUGACACAAUGCAAAUAUGGAGUGUGAAAGCAGGAGAAGGGGGGGGGGCUCCUUGGCAAGCAGGUACUGUGUGCUGGGAGCGGCAUCCCAUAAUGACUAUUAGCUGGAUUUCACAGCCAGCUUCUGAUCUCUGGCAAUGACAGGGGCCUUUAUAAGAGGAUGGGUGAGCUGCAACCCCCUCCUCAUAACCCCCCUCAUUCAUGUGCAUAAAUACAUGCACUCAAUAGCGCACAUACAACAGGGAGCUAAAAAAAUCAUGCUUUUGGGCCAUACUUUCAGAAAGAGUCUUUUAAAGAGCAGAAAUCUGGACAUCUUACACCUUAGGUUGAGGACCGAAUAUGGAAUUACUUUUGUGCCAAAAGUUUUUACAUCAAAAUUUUUUAAAUUGCAAACAAAAGUGUAAAUAAUAAAGAUUCAUGAUAUCUAAUAUUUGCUUUCAAAAAUGUAUUUUUUUUUUACAUUUACAAACUUUUUGUAUUUUUUUUUGCUUUCAAAAAAUAUUUUUGCGAUUGCAGCCCAAAUGUUUUUAGAUACGUUGUGUCUCGUCUCACUUUCACCCCAUCUUUAAAUUUGCGUCGAGACGUUUGGCGAGAUGAGGCACAACACGUCUGAAGACAUUUGCAAUCGCUAAAAUAUUUUUGUAAGUUAAAAAAAAACUGUAAAAAUAUUUUUUUAAAAGCAAAUAUUAAAUAUUCUUAUUUGCAAACAUUUAUUCUUAACACUUUUCAUUUUGUUUCCAA